UCUAACAGUAUAAGUGGUAAUACCUGGGCGGCCACACCGUCCUGUGAGUGCCCGAUCUUGUCACACCUGGUUAGUACUUGGAUGGGAGACUGCCUUGGAAGACCACAUAAUGGUUAGAU
rnacentral:rRNA from 12 species